GACGAACGCUGGCGGCGUGCCUAACACAUGCAAGUCGAGCGGGGUUGAAGCGAGGGGUAACUCGGACUUCUACCUAGCGGCGGACGGGUGAGUAACGCGUGGGCAACCUGCCUCAAGGUUUGGGAUAACAGCUCGAAAGGGCUGCUAAUACCGGAUAUGCCUGUGGCCUCGCAUGGGGCUAUGAGCAAAGGGGAAACCCGCCUUGAGAUGGGCCCGCGUCCCAUCAGCUAGUUGGUGAGGUGAAGGCUCACCAAGGCGACGACGGGUAGCCGGCCUGAGAGGGUGACCGGCCACACUGGGACUGAGACACGGCCCAGACUCCUACGGGGGGCAGCAGUGGGGGAUCUUGCACAAUGGGCGAAAGCCUGAUGCAGCGACGCCGCGUGAGCGAAGAAGGCCUUCGGGUUGUAAAGCUCUGUCUGGAGGGACGGAAACGAAAAUAGACGGUACCGUCCGGAGGAAGCCGACGGCUAACUACGUGCCAGCAGCCGCGGUAAUACGUUAGCGUG
rnacentral:rRNA from 1 species